CUGAAGAAUUUGAAUUCCAAUCCCAACAAUCAAUGCUCGCUUGACUCCUGGAUCAAGUAAAGCAUCCCAAAUUGGCCCCUUUUUGGCAGUUUCAGAAGGGUGAACCAUUGCAGGUCCAACUGCAUGCUGAUCCAGAAGCUCCUUGGAAUAGAGGGCAGGUUGACUUACCAGAGCAGAAGCCUGGACAUACUCGCCUUCUGCAGGAACAUCACCACCAGGAAGUGAAACCAGAGACCCACGACGAGAUCCAGGGACUCCCUCCUGGUGCAAAUAAACCCUUUUAAAUUCUCCUUCCUUCUUUCCAUCUUCUCCUUCUCUCUCAGACCAUUUCCACGCCAACUGCCAACCGCCACCAAUACCUGUAGCCCCAACAGCCUCCCCAGUUCCUUGCAUGAGACUGCUAUGGCGUCUCAUGCUCAGAAUGCUACCAUGGGAAGGUGGGGGGUGCAUAUCCUUUUCCAGGCUUGUUGUCUGACGAGAGAUUAAUGGACUGUGUAAAUUAUCAUCUGAGUCUCCCCCAGCAGCUUCUGAUGUGUAGUCCUCACCUUCCCUCUGUAAGCUCUCUUCAUCCCAAUGCUCAUGCUUAACAUGAGAUUCUGCUGUACUAAACAUGCUACCAAAAUUAGGGAAAAGCAUGCUUCCUGUUUCAGGAUUCUUCUCAUGAACACUACCAAAAAGAGUCACUAGAGGAUCCAUGAGAGGCAUGCUUUGGUUCACCAUGGUUCCCUGGCGAGAUACAAGAGCAAGAGAACUCUGUCCAGUGACAGGUUUGGCAAUCCAGGAGAGGCCUGCUUCAGGCCCAUAUAAUUUGAUUUUGUCUUUCUCAGCAGUGGGUUCAUGAUCAUCAGCAAGUUCAUCUGCAGGGCCUAUUAUGUACUCCUCUAUGGAAGUUUCGCCCCCAAUACCAAGACCUUCAACCAGCAAAGCCAUCUCACCUGAAACAUCUUCCCUUCCACGUAAUCUCUGCAGAACUCGUUUAGCCUCAAGCAUCUUCCCUUUACUCACAAGCCAUCGAGGAGUUUCAGGCAAAUAAAAUAUUGUCAAUGCAAAAUAUAGUAGAGAAGGUAUAGAAAGUAUUCCAAGCAUCAACCUCCAACUUGGUGAGGGCAUUAAAGACAUUCCAAAAACCAUACAAUAUGACAG
rnacentral:misc_RNA from 1 species